CAUGAACGGGGCGGCGUGCCAGGUAAUUCUGCAUCGCCUUCUUUUUUUCCCGGUGGCCGUGCCAAACAAGACGACACCCAACGCCUGCGUGGAGUCGGCACACGAAAAUAUUACAACCAGUCGCUAAAUGUGGGUUGCAUCAUGCUGCUUUUGGAACCUGAACCAUGUGCCAAAAGGCAUGUUUGUCAGAGGAAGAGGAGGGAAAAGAAAAGCAGAUGCUCACUCGGGAGGAGGCAUGCGCUCCGUUCUGCUCCAUCCUCUUUUCAUACCAAACACACUUCAGAUGGAGCAGAUUGCACUGAAAUGAUCACAGCGGAGGAAUUUCAGCGCCGGCGUAAAUCAGCGUUGGAACCUGAGCGGAGGACAAGCGCCUCCAAAUGAAUCGUCCCUGUGUCAACGUUUGCCGCGGCCGCCAUCUGACUGACAUCAAUCAAUUCGAGCGCUCUUAUCUCGUCAUCGGGACUCUGCGGUUGGUGGAAAAGUGGUCACGUGACGCCGGAUGAGCUAAGGCUGCCCAAGGAUGCUGGCUUGGUCUGGUUCAACUGGCUCGGUGUGUGUGCCUAAUUUGCCUCCAGAAAGACCUCAAGCUACUCGUUAUCUUUUGACCGUGUAAAAAGAGCCUUAUUAGGGUAGUUUUACCCCCCCCAUCCCCAUACACACACACUUUCAGAGAACGCUACCCUGCAGUAAACAAAAACAUAUUAGCAUCACAAUUGCAAUACAAAGAAACCCGAGUAACUUCUAAAUUUGGGGGGAAAAUAAGCAUGUCUGUUUGUUAUGAUAA